CUUGAUCGACCCCAACCACAACGGCCGAUCCACCGGACGGUCCUUGCCAUACGUCGCCAGCAGCGCCUGCGCCUC
rnacentral:antisense_RNA from 1 species